rnacentral:rRNA from 1 species
UACGGAGGACGCGAGCGUUAUCCGGAUUCAUUGGGUUUAAAGGGUGCGCAGGCGGCCUGGCAAGUCAGCGGUGAAAUCCCGGGGCCCAACCCCGGAAGUGCCGUUGAUACUGUCGGGCUGGAAUGCGGUCGGGGCCGGCGGAACGUGGCGUGUAGCGGUGAAAUGCGUAGAUAUGCCACAGAACGCCGAUCGCGGAGGCGGCCGGCCAGGCCUGCAUUGACGCUCGGGCACGAAAGCGUGGGGAUCGAAC